rnacentral:rRNA from 1 species
AAACUAGGAUUAGAUACCCUAUUAUUUUUGAUGUUAAUUAUUUAACCUGAGUAGUAAUAGAUAUGGUCUUGAAACUUAAAGAAUUUGGCAGUAUUUUAUUCUGUUCAGAGGAACCUGUUCUUUUAUCGAUAAUCCUCGUUGGACCUUACUUGAUUUAUUGAUUUGUAUACCGCCGUUGUAUUGAGGAUCUUUAUAGUGUUUAUAAUUUUCUGUAUUUUACUUUAAGUUAUUUCAGGUCAAGGUGCAAUUUAUGAUUAAGUGGAAAUGGGUUACUUUUAUAUUUAUUUUUGGAUUAUUGAGUGUAAUUUUGAUAUGAAAUUGGAUUUGAAUGUAAUUAUUAUUUUAGAUUGUAUUGAUGAUUUAGUUUCUAGAAUGUGUACACAUCGCCCGUCACUCUCGUUAUUUAUUCGAGAUAAGUCGUAACAUAAUA